GGCAUUUUAACACUGUUAUCUUCCAUUACUCCAGUUUUAAUACAGGUCAGGGGAGUUUUGUGUUAGAUUUUAAGUCUGACUGAUGAGGGAAUUGAUGUUGAGCUUCUGUAAGAAAUUUGUCUUGUAACAGUACAAAAUGUUGAUGAAGUAACUAAAACAAUACAAAACCACUGCAAAACACACUAAAUGGAUUAAGAAUUGGCUAACUUCAGGUCUUAAAUAUUAUUAUAACCAGAGAAAUUUUCUUAGAGUGGGUGUGUGCUUGGACAGAUCCCAUAGGGACUACUUCUUGGCUAAAUACUCUUGUAUUUUAUCAAAAACUUAGGAAAAAAAAUCCUUUAAAUCAUUAUCAACACAUUUUUCAGAUGAAAAAGGCUGGGAAAAUGGUCAAAAGAAGGAACCCAGGUCACUGAUAGCAACGGGUAAUUGGCAAUCUGAAGUUUUGUUUCCUGUGAAAUAUUUCUCAAGCAUAGACUGACUGAAGUGGGGCAGGGACUGAAUCUAUCCACAGAAGAACAAGUGCUGAGGACUUUAUCCUAAUUUUUAGAUGUAAAUAAAACUGCUGCAACUCUUCUCCAGCCCUAGAGAAUAGGUGUAGUCUGCACUGCAGAGAAAUUACAGAUAAACUUGAAAUUCCAGAAGCUCCACUGCCAAACUUCAUAAAUCAAAGCUACCAAUCAGGAGAGGGAUUCUGUUUGAUUUUCUAGAAAGAUGAAUGAACUCCUGUGUCCCAUGACUGCACCUGGUCAUGCUGCAGGGUCAGGUAAGUGUUGUACGGUACCACUGGGGCAGUGAUGCUGCAAACCCACACCAGAAAAUGCAGACUCAGUACUGGGAGAGCUCCCUCCAUGCCAUGUUUGGUUUCAGCCAGUUAAAUCCAGAACAGAAAUUGUCUUGUUUUUGUUUUGUUUUGUUUCCCACUGGGAAAUCUAGGAGGUUAUUAGCCUGCCUCUAAUUAACACAUUAACAUUUGUUUUGGAGGUCUUAGUUAAUAACAGCAACUCAUCAAGUGGGUCCCCCAGCUGCUGAUUUGUUUUUUUCACACCAGAUUUUUUACCUGAAAUUUUCUUCCUGAUCCUCUGUGUGUUUGCCAGUUUCCCUUGGAGCUUUAUUUAAGAAUUUCUUUGUGCUUUGUUAUGUUUAAUAAAUUAGAAAAACUGCAUUGGUGACUUGCCAUUCAGCUCCCACUCCACACACUGCCCAGAAAUGCUGAUAUAAUGUUUUAUCUUUUUUUUUUUUUUUUUAAUCCAAAAAGAAGCAGAGAUGUAUAAACAUUCACAUUUUGGUGCCUUUAAUGGUAUUUACUAUGUACUUUUCCUUCACCAAAGCCAGAGUACUGCAUAGAUUUUUUACCUAUGCAGUUGACUUCUUCAUCAGAGGUUGAUUUAGGUGAUUUAAAAAAAACCAACAUCCUCUUACAAUAAAGGAUGUUACUGUGUAUAAUGUGAAAUAUUUAGCAUCUUGCCAGUUUCUCUUUUCUUUUUCUCCCAAAUCCCUAUUUCAUCAGCACAGCUUGAAAUAGCCCUGCAGUUCAGAGCUAUCUGCUCAUUCUGGUUCCUUUAAUGAAUAUUUACCAUCCUGCAGAAAAGUGGAGGAUGCCUGGCUGCAGCUGUGCCCCCAAACACCGGAAAGAACUCUGUUCUCUUCAGAGCCAUUACCCCCAGCUUCAUCACUUAAUAGAAGGAAAGACAGUACACGCUACACUAUAAUGAAAUUUCCUAUUUUUUUGUUUAUACCAGGUUUAAUAAGCCCUGUAAAUUAAAUGAGGUAAUGGCAUGGACUGCUCAAAUAAUAGCAGUAGUAUUAAACUAAAUGUCUUCCCUCUAUAUUAAUAAUGCCAUAAUAAAUUAUAGGGGACAGUUGCCUUUUCCACCUACCAUCAACCUCUGUGUAGACAGAGCAGAUGAGAAAAUAAUUUUACAUUUCUACACAAGUUCUCAAGAAUCAGAAAAAAACAAGGAUCUUAGAAGACAAAGGAGCAAGUCACAACUUACAAAAGUUUAGCUGAGUAAAGAUUUGGGCUAAUUACCAGGGCUCUCCCUCACUUAAUUGAGAAAAAUAGGGGUAAUCAGACAGUGAUUUGUGGGUUUCUCAAUA